GGGAAAUUGUUGAAAGGGAAGCGCUUGCAACCAGACCUGCCUGCAGUUGCUCAUCCGGGCUUUUGCCCGGUGCACUCUUCUGCUGUCAGGCCAGCAUCGGUUCGGGCGGUCGGAUAAAGGCUUCGGGAAUGUAGCUCCUCUCGAGGAGUGUUAUAGCCCGUUGCGAAAUGCGGCCAGCCUGAACUGAGGUCCGCGCUUCGGCUAGGAUGCUGGCGUAAUGGUUGUAAGCGGCCCGUCUUGAAACACGGACCAAGGAGUCUAACAUCUGUGCGAGUGUUUGGGUGUCAAACCCGUACGCGUAAUGAAAGUGAACGGAGGCGGGAACCCCUCGGGGUGCACCGUCGACCGAUCCUGAUGUCUUCGGAUGGAUUUGAGUAAGAGCAUAGCUGUUGGGACCCGAAAGAUGGUGAACUAUGCCUGAAUAGGGUGAAGCCAGAGGAAACUCUGGUGGAGGCUCGCAGCGGUUCUGACGUGCAAAUCGAUCGUCAAAUUUGGGCAUAGGGGCGAAAGACUAAUCGAACUAUCUAGUAGCUGGUUCCUGCCGAAGUUUCCCUCAGGAUAGCAGUAACGUUUUCAGUUUUAUGAGGUAAAGCGAAUGAUUAGAGGCCUGGGGGUUGAAACAACCUUCACCUAUUCUCAAACUUUAAAUAUGUAAGAAGUCCUUGUUGCUUAGUUGAACGUGGACAUUUGAAUGUAUCGUUACUAGUGGGCCAUUUUUGGUAAGCAGAACUGGCGAUGCGGGAUGAACCGAACGCGGAGUUAAGGUGCCGGAAUGCACGCUC
rnacentral:rRNA from 1 species